rnacentral:rRNA from 1 species
UACGGAAGGCAGCAGUGGGGAAUAUUGCACAAUGGGCGAAAGCCUGAUGCAGCUAUGCCGCGUGUAUGAAGAAGGCCUUAGGGUUGUAAAGUACUUUCAUCGGGGAGGAAAAAACAAAACUAAUAAUUUUAUUUCUUGACGUUACCCGAAAAAGAAGCACCGGCUAACUCCGUGCCAGCAGCCGCGGUAAUACGGAGGGUGCUAGCGUUAAUCAGAAUUACUGGGCGUAAAGAGCACGUAGGUGGUUUUUUAAGUCAGAUGUGAAAUCCCUGGGCUUAACCUAGGAACUGCAUUUUGAAACUGAAAUACUAGAGUAUCGUAGAGGGAGGUAGAAUUCUAGGUGUAGCGGUGAAAUGCGUAGAUAUCUGGAGGAAUACCUGUGGCGAAAGCGGCCUCCUAAACGAAUACUGACACUGAGGUGCGAAAGCGUUGGGGAGCAAACAGGGAUUAGGAUACC